rnacentral:rRNA from 1 species
UACGUAGGGGGCAAGCGUUGUCCGGAAUUAUUGGGCGUAAAGCGCGUGUAGGCGGUCCGGUAAGUCCGCUGUGAAAGUCGGGGGCUCAACCCUCGAAUGCCGGUGGAUACUGUCGGGCUAGAGUACGGAAGAGGCGAGUGGAAUUCCUGGUGUAGCGGUGAAAUGCGCAGAUAUCAGGAGGAACACCUAUUGCGAAGGCAGCUCGCUGGGACGUAACUGACGCUGAGACGCGAAAGCGUGGGGAGCAAACAGG